CGCAGAGGUUCUGAGGCACCCUCUGGAAGCACAGCCCAUGUUCCCACCCCAUCCCAGGCGCCAGCUGUGCUCCCUCUCAGCCCUGGUAGGCAGAAAAGAGCUGUGCAUCACUUAAAUCUGAGGAUUUCCCUCUCCCAGCCCAGGACAGGGAUGGCCACUGUGUCCUCGCUCAGGAUUCUUCCAGAACUGGUGGCAAAUCUUCAGCUGUGAUGUGACACUGCACCACAAAGGGGAAAAUCCAGCCCAGAAUUGAGGGAAUGUUUGAGAGCAGCUCAGCAAAAAGCAGUGAAAUCUUUCAGCUCAAAAUGUGUCAAUCUGUUCCCU
rnacentral:lncRNA from 1 species